rnacentral:rRNA from 1 species
CCUACGGGUGGCAGCAGUGAGGAAUAUUGGUCAAUGGGCGCGAGCCUGAACCAGCCAAGUAGCGUGAAGGAUGACUGCCCUACGGGUCGUAAACCUCUUUUAUCAAGGAAUAAAGUGAGGCACGUGUGCCUUUAUGUAUGUACUUUAUGAAUAAGGAUCGGCUAACUCCGUGCCAGCAGCCGCGGUAAUACGGAGGAUCCGAGCGUUAUCCGGAUUUAUUGGGUUUAAAGGGAGCGGAGAUGGGUUGUUAAGUCAGUUGUGAAAGUUUGCGGCUCAACCGUAAAAUCGCAAUUGAUACUGGCAGCCUUGAGUACGGUUGAGGUAUGCGGAAUUCGUGGUGUAGCGGUGAAAUGCUUAGAUAUCGCGAAGAACUCCGAUUGCGAAGGCAGCUUACUAGCCUGCCACUGACAUUGAUGCUCGAAAGUGUGGGUAUCGAACAGGAUUAGAUACCCCUGUAGUC